GGCAACGUUUAUGCCUAUCUGUACAAGAACGGUUACACAGUGCAGAACGGCAAUGUAAUUCAGAUGAAUAUUUGGGACACAGUGAAGAACAAGGCAAGGUUUACUCUAAAAGAAGUCACGAUGCGAGACGCUGGAACGUACUUCUGUUUUCUGAUGUCAGAGCCAUGCCCUUUCCCUAAAGAAGUGCAUGGCAUCAAUGAAGUCAACCUUAACAUUACUGAAUAUGUUAAUGAAACUCUAAAGAUUACUCUUGGUUGUUCUUCUCUGCUGCUGCUGAUUAUUUUGUCUCUUGGACUUUGGGGAAUGUUUCAUAAGCAAGGUUGUUUUAAAUGCCACAGUGAAAGGUUUGUUUAUUUUUGUUUCUUACAAUUAUAUGCUUUUAGUUCAUUUAAAGUAAAUGGUCUGCACUUAUACAGCACUUUUAUCCAAAGCGCUUUACAUUGUGUCUCAUUCACCCAUUCACACACACACACCCAGAGUAGCUAAGGUUUUUAAAGCUAUACAAGUGCAGACCAUUUACCAAGCCAGAAUUGCUCAACUAUUAAAAAAAAAUGUUUUGUGUCAUCUGAUAUUUGUUUAUUUUCUACAAAGUAAAAAAAAAACAACAACAGGUGGACAUCCUCUAAGUGUGGUGAUUCCAUAAUUUUGCCAGGGGUUGUAUACUAGUAUUUAAUAUUCACACUGAAAUUUCGGUCAAAUAGAUCUACCGAACAUAGGAAUGACUCAAGAGACGCAGAGCUGGACCAAGGGUGUCCAAAAAGUCUCAGUACAUUGGGCACUACGUAUGCCAGCAUCCUGUCGGUUGUGCCAGUGGAUGUUCAUGGACGUCCUCGUCUGUUUGGCGACAGUGUCGUGUGUGAUGUGCUCUCCCUGUUUCCUGUUCAAGUCCAUCGCAACCUUGAGAUGGUUUCCCGAUCCAGCCAUGAGAAUGAUUUCAACAUGUAUUUCUUUUGUUAAAGGCAUUGUUAAAGGGUAUCUGAAAAAAAAAUCUAUAUACAAUAUAAACUAAGUAGUAAAAAAUUUGGAGGACAUUUGGCUAAAAAGUGUUAAUUUCCUCUAUGUAUGGAGACUUUUGGGACACCCUUUACUGUCUUGAAAUGAUCAUUUUCUCACAUGAAUUUUUCACUAUUAACAGGUGAAAUGCAGAAUGA
ensembl:lncRNA